AUUGAACGCUGGCGGCAGGCCUAACACAUGCAAGUCGAACGAGUGGCGGACGGGUGAGUAAUGUCUGGGAAACUGCCUGACGGAGGGGGCUAACUACUGGAAACGGUAGCUAAUACCGCAUACCACCCGUUGUGCCCAGCUGGGAUUAGCUUGUCGGUGGGGUAACGGCUCACCAAGGCGACGAUCCCUAGCUGGUCUGAGAGGCUGACCAGCCACACUGGAACUGAGACACGGUCCAGACUCCUACGGGAGGCAGCAGUGGGGAAUAUUGCACAAUGGACGAAAGCCUGAUGCAGCCAUGCCGCGUGUAUGAAGAAGGCUUUCGGGUUGUAAAGUACUGUCAGCGGAGAGGCGUUACCCGCAGAAGAAGCACCGGCUAACUCCGUGCCAGCAGCCGCGGUAAUUC
rnacentral:rRNA from 1 species